rnacentral:sRNA from 2 species
CCCUUCUCGGGCCCCUCUCUCGUCUGCCCUCUCUUUGGGGAUGAGGUGCUGGCCCUGAAGGCGAACUCCAGUAAAGGCAGCCCGUGCAGAGGGCCCCUGU